GACGACGCUGGCGGCGUGCCUAACACAUGCAAGUCGAGCGGGGUUGAAGCGAGGGGUAACUCGGACUUCUACCUAGCGGCGGACGGGUGAGUAACGCGUGGGCAACCUGCCUCAAGGUUUGGGAUAACAGCUCGAAAGGGCUGCUAAUACCGGAUAUGCCUGUGGCCUCGCAUGGGGCUAUGAGCAAAGGGGAAACCCGCCUUGAGAUGGGCCCGCGUCCCAUCAGCUAGUUGGUGAGGUGAAGGCUCACCAAGGCGACGACGGGUAGCCGGCCUGAGAGGGUGACCGGCCACACUGGGACUGAGACACGGCCCAGACUCCUACGGGGGGCAGCAGUGGGGGAUCUUGCACAAUGGGCGAAAGCCUGAUGCAGCGACGCCGCGUGAGCGAAGAAGGCCUUCGGGUUGUAAAGCUCUGUCUGGAGGGACGAAGGAAGUGACGGUACCUCCGGAGGAAGCCACGGCUAACUACGUG
rnacentral:rRNA from 1 species